CUGCACUGAUGAUCAUAGAUGUGACUGACCUGGAAUUGCUGGCCUCUGGGUCGGCUCUAGCCAGGAGAUGACCUCCGUUAAUCUUCUCUCUGAGCAU
rnacentral:snoRNA from 1 species